UACGUAGGGUGCGAGCGUUAAUCGGAAUUACUGGGCGUAAAGGGCUCGUAGGUGGCCAACUAAGUCAGACGUGAAAUCCCUCGGCUUAACCGGGGAACUGCGUCUGAUACUGGAUGGCUUGAGUUCGGGAGAGGGAUGCGGAAUUCCAGGUGUAGCGGUGAAAUGCGUAGAUAUCUGGAGGAACACCGGUGGCGAAGGCAGGUCUCUGGGCUGACACUGACGCUCAUGCACGAAAGCGUGGGGAGCAAACAGG
rnacentral:rRNA from 1 species